GUGCUGCUGAAGAGACCCAGAAACUAGGACGAAACAGCUGUCCAGUAC
rnacentral:hammerhead_ribozyme from 1 species